rnacentral:snRNA from 1 species
AGCUUUGCGCAGUGGCAGUAUUGUAGCCAAUGAGGUUUAUCUGAAGCGCGAUUAUUGCUAAUUGAAAAAUCAAGGCCCAGGACCUCUGGGUGGCUCAGUCUGUUAAAAGCAUCUGACUCUUGAUCUCAGUUCAGGUCUUGAUCUCAGGGUCAUGAGUUCAAGUCCCAUGUUGGG